AUAUAUCUCUAUAUCUCUGUCUCUCUCUGUGUGUGUGUGUGUGUGUAAUAAAGUUUAGCAGUGUGACGUACGCUCUCACACAGACCCCUGACUCAGCACCUCAGAAUCAUAAUCAACCCAGCAUUCAUAACGUGUGUGUGUGUGUGUGUGUACUCAAAUGCUCAGCAAUUUGUUUAAUUACUCUUUCAUUCACAUAUUCACAGAGAGAGAGGGAGGGAGGGAGCGAGACUGAUCCUGCUCCUGGGUCUGAUGCUGCUCCUGGGUCUGAUCCUGCUCCUGGGUCUGAUGCUGCUCCUGGGUCUAGUUCUGCUGCUGUUGUGCGUUGGUUCGAGCUCGAGACAAACACGAGCGCAGGUUUUCAUAUCACACUCGUGAGAAACCCGAGACCUGAGGCUCUGAUGAUCUGAGAUGUGGCGUCCUGGAGAAACCCUGCAGCGCCGGAGGAGUCGUGAUGGAGAGAGUCAGUUCCGCACAUCUCUGUGGCUGAAGCAUGUCUGAAGAUAUCAGGCAUUAAACAGCGCCACCUGGUGUUCAGACAACCACAAUGACAUACAGAGCAACUGCUCAUCAUCUCAAAAACGGAUUCAGCUGGAGCCACUUCAGUCUACAUACUCAUCUCUUUUAAUAGAGCUUUACAUCGAGGAGAGAAAAGGAACAAAGGAACAUGAUUUGAGUUUGAAUCAAUACAUCAUUCUUUUUUUAUUUCUAAAAUUCUUAAAAUUUCCUCUUUGAUUGGAACAUCUGUCAGUUUGAAUUCCAGCUGUCACUGACAUCACAACGAGCUUCAGUCGACCAAUCAGCAGCUCCACUUCAAAUGCUUUAAACACACACAUUCACACUGUAGGAUUAUUUUUCAUUUCUUUCUGCUUUUCUCUCUCCAUCUGUAACUCCUCCUUUCUUCAUCUCUCUCUCUCUCCUUUUCUUCCUUUUCCUUUCUUUCCUGCAGAAAAUGAAAAUCUUUAUUUUUUUUUUUAUUUUACUGCUCAAACAAAAGGAGGAAACCCAGGCGACAGUAACCUGUUGUUUGUGUCAGUUUAUUGUUCUGUAGCGGAGUGUUACUGAGGAACACCGUGUGCAGUUUCACAAACAUGUAAACAAUAAUGCAGUAUUUUAACUUUAUAGAUCAAGUGUGAAAAUUCUGAGGAUCUCCAAUCACCACUACUGACAAUGUGAUGAAACAUUUUUCUUUAUUUUAUCGUAUGAUUUUUUUUUUUUAU